rnacentral:rRNA from 1 species
GACGAACCGAGCGAACGUUAUUCGGAAUAACUGGGCUUAAAGGGUGCGUAGGCGGGCUGUCAAGUCUGGGGUGAAAUCCGGCAGCUUAACUGUCGAACUGCCUCAGAUACUGAUGGCCUCGAGGGAGGUAGGGGCAUGCGGAACUGUAGGUGGAGCGGUGAAAUGCGUAGAUAUCGGAAGGAACGCCGGUGGCGAAAGCGAUCCGCUGGACCUCUUCUGACGCUGAGGCGCGAAAGCCAGGGGAGCGAACGGG